GCCUUGACAAUUUGGAAGUCCAAGAUUCCACUAAAAGUUAAAAUCUUCAUCUGAUAUCUUCGAAGAGGAGUUAUGCCAACCAAAGACAACCUCAGCCGUCACAAUUGGCAAGGAAGCAAGAAGUGUAGCUUUUGUACUCAAGAAAAGACAAUCAAACACCUCUUUUUCUAG
rnacentral:rRNA from 1 species